UUAUUUGCAGCCAAGUUUGUUAUAUAAAUACUUGUUGUUUUCUUAGUUGAACCCUAGACGUUCCCAAACGACAAAAACGAAUUAUGAAGGCAAUUUUUUGCACCUUUUCAUAAAUUUCUGAAGAUUUGAAUGUUAUGGAUUAUCUCAAUCAUUUAGUUUAGUAAUACUUAGCUAUUUAAUGUCUAUUUUUACCGUUCUAGAUCAUAUUUUAGCCAUGUCUAGCUAAACCCUAGAUUUCAGUUCUACAUAUAUUUAGGGCUGACAAAAUUAUAUCACGGAAAACCAACCAACAUGUUACCAACCGAACCAAGAAAGUUGGUAGCCAACAUCCUUGGUCGGUAGUACCAUACCAAUUAAGCAAUCUUGGUACGGUAAUGGUACAAAAAUUUGAAUACCAUGGUAAUACCGUAACAACCAAUUCAUUAUAUAUAUAUAUAUAUAUAUACACACACACACACACACACACACACACACACACACACACGAAAUCAUACAUAUAUUCCAAUUAACAAGUGUGUUUAGUUUUUGCAGUUUUAAGAAUAUGAUAUAAGUCAUUUGAUCGCAUUAAUUAAUAGUUACUAUCACGUUAAAAC
rnacentral:lncRNA from 1 species